GACGAACGCUGGCGGCGUGCUUAACACAUGCAAGUCGAACGGAAAGGCCCUGCUUUUGUGGUGUGCUCGAGUGGCGAACGGGUGAGUAACACGUGAGUAACCUGCCCUUCACUUUGGGAUAACUUCAGGAAACUGGGGCUAAUACCGGAUAGGAUCUCCUGCUGCAUGGUGGGGGUUGGAUAGUCUCGGCGGGUGGGGAUGGACUCGCGGCUUAUCAGCUUGCUGGUGGGGUAGUUGCUUACCAAGGCUUUGACGGGUAGCCGGCCUGAGAGGGUGACCGGCGACAUUGAGACUGAGAUACGGCACAGACUCCUACGGGAGGAAGCAGUGGGGAAUAUUGAACAAUGGGCGGAGGCCUGAUGCAGCAACGCCGCGUGCGGGAUAACGGCCUUCGGGUUGUAAACCGCUUUCGCCUGUGACGAAGCGUGAGUGACGGUAAUGGGUAGAGAAGCACCGGCUAAAUACGUG
rnacentral:rRNA from 1 species